CCUACGGGAGGCAGCAGUGAGGAAUAUUGGUCAAUGGGCGCGAGCCUGAACCAGCCAAGUAGCGUGAAGGAUGACUGCCCUACGGGUUGUAAACUUCUUUUAUAUGGGAAUAAAAUGUUCCACGUGUGGCUUUUUGUAUGUACUUUAUGAAUAAGGAUCGGCUAACUCCGUGCCAGCAGCCGCGGUAAUAUGGAGGAUCCGAGCGUUAUCCGGAUUUAUUGGGUUUAAAGGGAGUGUAGAUGGAUUGUUAAGUCAGUUGUGAAAGUUUGCGGCUCAACCGUAAAAUUGCAAUUGAAACUGGCAGCCUUGAGUACAGUAGAGGUGGGCGGAAUUCGUGGUGUAGCGGUGAAAUGCUUAGAUAUCACGAAGAACUCCGAUUGCGAAGGCAGCUUACUAAACUGCAACUGACAUUGAUGCUCGAAAGUGUGGGUAUCAAACAGGAUUAGAUACCCGAGUAGUC
rnacentral:rRNA from 1 species